AUUGAACGCUGGCGGCAGGCCUAACACAUGCAAGUCGAGCGGAAGAAGGGUGCUUGCUCCGGGUUUCAGCGGGGGACGGGUGAGUGAUGCCUGGGAAUCUCCCUGGUUGUGGUGGAUAACGUCCGGAAGCGGGCGGUAAUACUGCAUGCGUGCUGAGGGAGCAAGUGGGGGAGCGUUGGACCUUACGCUAUCAGAGGAGUCUAGGUCGGAGUAGCUAGUUGGUUGGGUGAAGGCCUACCAAGGCGACGAUCCGUAGCUGGUCGGGGAGGAUGAUCAGUCACAACAGAACUUAAACACGGUCCAGACUUCUAAGGGACGCAGCAGUCGGGAAUAUUGGACAAUAGGGGGAAGCAUUGUCCAACCAUGCCGCGUGUGUGAAAGAAGUCUUGUGAUUGGAAAGCACUUUAUGUUGGGAGAAAGGGCAGUCAGUUAAUACCUUGCUGGUUUGACGGUACCAACAAAAUAAGCACCGGCUAACUUCGUG
rnacentral:rRNA from 1 species